rnacentral:rRNA from 1 species
ACUCGGGGAUAGCCUUUCGAAAGAAAGAUUAAUACCCGAUGGCAUAGUUCUUCCGCAUGGUAGAACUAUUAAAGAAUUUCGGUCAUCGAUGGGGAUGCGUUCCAUUAGGUUGUUGGCGGGGUAACGGCCCACCAAGCCUUCGAUGGAUAGGGGUUCUGAGAGGAAGGUCCCCCACAUUGGAACUGAGACACGGUCCAAACUCCUACGGGAGGCAGCAGUGAGGAAUAUUGGUCAAUGGACGAGAGUCUGAACCAGCCAAGUAGCGUGAAGGAUGACUGCCCUAUGGGUUGUAAACUUCUUUUAUACGGGAAUAAAGUGAGGCACGUGUGCCUUUUUGUAUGUACCGUAUGAAUAAGGAUCGGCUAACUCCGUGCCAGCAGCCGCGGUAAUACGGAGGAUCCGAGCGUUAUCCGGAUUUAUUGGGUUUAAAGGGAGCGUAGGCGGACGCUUAAGUCAGUUGUGAAAGUUUGCGGCUCAACCGUAAAAUUGCAGUUGAUACUGGGUGUCUUGAGUACAGUAGAGGCAGGCGGAAUUCGUGGUGUAGCGGUGAAAUGCUUAGAUAUCACGAAGAACUCCGAUUGCGAAGGCAGCUUGCUGGACUGUAACUGACGCUGAUGCUCGAAAGUGUGGGUAUCAAACAGGAUUAGAUACCCUGGUAGUCCACACAGUAAACGA